UAGGCGUACGGGUGAGUAACACGUGGAUUAUCUGCCCUAGAGUGGGGAAUAACGCUGGGAAACCGGCGCUAAUACCGCAUAUUCCCGAGAGGGGAAAGCAGCAAUGCGCUCAAGGAGGAGUCCGCGGCCGAUUAGCUAGUUGGCAGGGUAAAAGCCUACCAAGGCUAUGAUCGGUAGCCGGCCUGAGAGGGCACACGGCCACACUGGCACUGAAACACGGGCCAG
rnacentral:rRNA from 1 species